GUAGGUGGCAAGCGUUGUCCGGAAUUAUUGGGCGUAAAGCGCGCGCAGGCGGUUCUUUAAGUCUGAUGUGAAAGCCCACGGGCUCAACCGUGGUGGGUCAUUGGAAACUGGAGAACUUGAGUACAGAGGAGGAAAGCGGAAUUCCACGUGUAGCGGUGAAAUGCGUAGAGAUGUGGAGGAACACCAGUGGCGAAGGCGGCUUUCUGGUCUGUAACUGACGCUGAGGCGCGAAAGCGUGGGGAGCAAACAGGAUUAGAUACCCUGGUAGUCCACGCCGUAAACGAUGAGUGCUAAGUGUUAGGGGGUUUCCGCCCCUUAGUGCUGCAGCUAACGCAUUAAGCACUCCGCCUGGGGAGUACGGCCGCAAGGCUG
rnacentral:rRNA from 1 species